CUGAGUUGGAGGAGGUUAUUGAAACUUUCAAUCUAUAGCUGGUUGAUCAGAAGCACAGAGACUGACAAGAGCUUACUCGCUGUGACAAGCAAAGUCCUUGGAUUUGGCUCUAGAAAUCAACUGAGCAAAGUAUAUUUUAAGAAUUCACACAAUAAGCCAGUGAACAGCUGAAUAGUGUGUGCUAAGCACUUUAAAAUAUUAUGUGAAGAGAAAACUGAAGUGUAGAAAAAUUAAGAAGUUUCAUAAGGCCACAGAGCCAGUGGCAGAACCCAGAUAUGACCUAAGAAAUCUGACACUCCAGAGAGUAGCUUCUGGUUGUUGUUAUGGCAUUCACAUGUGAAAGUCAGCAGUAAAAUUCUCCACAGAAGCACUGGAGUUCAGAUGCGAUUGACUGGAAAACCAGCAUAAAGAGAAAAUAAUAGGCUAUCAUUAAGAGGAAGAAUGAUAGUUACCGUUCAUGAAGUACCAUUUGUAUGCUUUUCAUUUAUUAGCUUUAACGGUCAUAUAUCUUUUUUGUGUUUGUUGUAAAUACCAUUUUACAGUUGAGAAAUCUGGACUCAGCAAGUUCAACUUGAAAUAAGUAGAGAGCUGUUAAGUGGGAGGGAUGGGAUUCAAUCCUGAAUUUGUCUUCUUAUUUCACUAUGCCAUGCUGGCUUCUUGGCAAGAAAAAAAAAACACUAUUUGCAAAUAUUAAAAACAGCUGUAUCCUACUGUAUGCUUUCAUUUAUAUGAAAUUCUAGAAUAGGGAAAACUAAUCUGGAGAGACAGAAAGCAGAUCAGAGUUGCUGGAGGGCAGGGGAAAGGAAGGGACUUACUGCAAAGGAAUACAAGGGCAUUUUUAGAAUGAUGGCAAGAUUUUUUAUCUUGAAUAUG